GAGAGUCUACUGGAAGCAAAGAAACACAAAUAGAUGGGUUAUUUUUGGUGAUGAGAACACAAAGUUGUUCCAAGCUAUGGCUACAUACUCAUACAGAAAGAAAUAUAUUUCUGAGUUGGUUAUGCGUGAUGGGACUAUCCUGUCUGACCAUGAAAAAAAGCAGGUGCACUAUGGGCAUCAUAUAAAGAGAAGUUAGGUGUAUCUGAAUUUACUGAUAUUCAC
rnacentral:lncRNA from 1 species